CCCCGCACUCGCAUUGCAUUGACAAGACUAGACAAUAGUCGCGGUGUCGCCCUGCAUGCUGUAAUGAUCAUCCUCAAAAUUGUUACCCCCGUAAAUUACAAAAUCUUGCACAAAAUUUCUUUCAUCUUACUUCAAUUUCAAGAGAAAAAGAGAAAUACAGUCUAUUGUCUAAUUUAUGUUCGUUGAAUCAAAAUUUGGGGUUAACUUUUGCAAAUUUUCCAACUAUCCAUCACGCAUCAAUUGUUCUUGAGGACUUAGUGAGUGCAUUACUGCAGUUGGCCAGUUGUACUAUCAGUGAUGAAUAUUGAAGAGAAUGAGGCAGGGAUAUGGGAGAAUAGCAUGGCUUUUGCACAGAGUGACAGAGAUGAUGCGAAAAACUUGAAAAAUAGUUUAGAAUAUCAGAUUUUGGUCCCUCCUUGUCUCUCCUCUUUUUGUAGAAUACUGCUUGUGGCAAAUAUUAACUGAAUUGGACAGGAGCCGCGCGAACGCAGGCCCCCACUAUCACAAAUUAUGACGUACACUCUUCCUCUUGGGAAGAUGUUAGGCAGGCACCCCUCCAAAGUGCAAUGGAGGCCACCUACCUAGGCCAUGAGCCUUGUUGAUCGCACAUUGACCUCGUCCAGGAGGGGUAUGAAGUCCCAUUUCUCACGGAAGAGCUACCUUUUAUUUUUCUCUCACUCCUUGCCUCCUUGGGAGCUAUAUAAGAGCUCCUCUCUAUUCAUGAGCUGGCCGGAUUUCAGUAGUAACAUGUUAAAGAGUCUAACACUUGAGUGCAAUACUGCAAUUGUCCUAUCAGUGAUGAAUAUUGAAGAGAAUGAGGCUGGGAUAUGGGGGAAUAUCAGAUUUUAGUCCUCCUUGUCUCUCCUCUUUGUUGUAAGCAGGCUAUCAAGUCUUCAGGAACUUACAUUCAAGUUUGGAUAUGGAAUUGGUUAGAGGUUGCGCGGACGCAGACCCCCACUAUCACAAAUCAUGACAUACACUCUUCCUCUUUGGGAAGAUGUUAAGCAGGCACCCCUCCUAAGUGCAAUGGAGGCCACCUACCUAGGCCAUGAGGCUUCUUGAUCACCCAUUGACCCUGUCCAGCGCCAAAGAACAACUGUUCGAGUACAGCCCUUAUCAAGACCAAUCUGGGGAGGUUCCAAUUACAUUAUGGGAAAUCUUCUGCAGUUAGUCACCCACAUUUGCAAGUCAAGUAAAGGGUUGAAAUGACCAGAAAAUAAAUAGAGGUCCAGCACUUCAAAUGGCGAUCAUUUACUUGAGAAGUGCCAAAAUCUGAAGAUGCCAAGUCAGACAGGACACUAGAUAGUUAGAAUGGAAAUUAGAUAGGGGCCGCGCGAACGCAGGCCCCAGCUAUCACAAAUUAUGACGUACACUCUUCCUCUUGGGAAGAUGUUAGGCAGGCACCCCUCCAAAAGUGCAAUGGAGGCCACCUACCUAGGUCAUGAACCUUCCUGAUCGCCCAUUGACCCCGUCCAGACAGAUGAUUCUUCGUAUCUCUUUCAUCCUGAGUUCUUGCUGGUAUUUCUAAUAACCAGGUAGGGCCUGACCUUAUUAAUGCUCAAUCUUCUAGGUUUAGUACUGCAUUGAUCUAUUACUAUAUAUUAGGAUCGAAAACCUGUGAUGUUAUCACCACCAGGUGGAUUAAUGCAUUUCACUUCUACACCAUACCUUGCAUGAUCUUCUUGAUAACUCUUAUGUUGUAGGAACAAUGACUAGUAAUGAACGAACUGCCCUAGAGUUGAAUUUGCAAUUAGAAUCAAUCAAUGACUCAAUUUAAUAGUCCUUUGUUCCAUGUGAUUUUUCUUUCUCCCCUUUGAAUUUUGGUGGAUUGGAGGUGGGUGGAUAUGGUGGAAUGUCAAAGACCGUAGUGGUAUACGAAGUAUAAUAUGGUUAUCAUGAAAUACAAGAGUAUGUUACACACUUACACAUACAAUAGGAAGUGGUGGUACACGAGGUACUUUGUGCUGGAAUAUUUGGUGAUAUACAACGCAAUUUACAACGGUAAUCCGAUGAUUAGUGAUGGGGUGAAAAAUUAAUAAAUCUAUCCUCUCAUAUUUAUUUUUAUUUGUACUCCUUUGUACCAUAUUAGUUAACCUAUUUAGUGAAUGAAAUACAAGGAACAUUGUGACUGUAAUAUUUCCCAUCAUUUAGUACGUGGUUUUCCUAUUGACCAAAUUAUAUUGUUUGAGGCAUAUGAAUACAUUAAAUAUUUUACUCAAUCCCAAGUUACUUGCACUAGUUUUCCCUUUAGGAAUGUCCUACAAUAGUUUGCCCCAUUUCCUCCAUGGGGAUUUUUGUCUCUUACUUUUUCUUCAAAGUUGGGUUCCACAGUCACCCACCAACUUUAUUUUCCUACUUUUUUCCUCUCAUUGUAGACUAUGCCAUUUGAACAUAAUAUGGCUGCAUUUGAGAUGAAGUGUUGUCAAUCUUCGCCAUCUUUUUCAUGAAAAUGUCAUGGUUAAAUGUACAUUGAAAAAUAAUCUUUAUGUUUGAAGAUAAAUAAACGUGUAAUGAUGUUUUAGCUUACCUUUUAUUUUAUUUUUCAACAAAGGUAGUAAAACUUUUUCAUCAAAGAAGCAUCCGAGGUGAUAUAUUUCCGAAAGCAAUCAUAUUGCUUUAUUUAUUUAUUUCCAUUGUCCAUUCAAUGAACUUUGCCUCUCAAUGGUGAAAAGAAAAAAAACGAUUAUUUAAACUCCCGUAAUUAUCUGGGCAAAGCUUUUAAUAACUGAUAACAUGGAUAUUUUUUGAGUUAAAUUGAAGUUGGAUGUGUGCAAUAUUCUCUUCUGCUAAAUUAUAUUUUGAGUUGAAUUUGAAUGCGGAGUUACGAAGUUGCAUGUCUUAUUGGCUUAAUUACUGGAGUACUAGUUAUGGAUUAAUCAUUUUAUGAUACAGUUUGAACUUAGAUCUCUUGUGGAGUACAGCUCCUUCUGAUGCUGAAGCGAUUGUUCUUUGCUAGUAAUGAGGUGGAAUCUGAAUGUGUUGAAGUCGUGAAGAGUGCUUACAAUAUUUGUUUGAACUUGUUAUCCCUUUGAUAUUUGGUUUGGGAGAGGGUAUCUUUUUGCUGUUCAGCAAGACCAGAAAAUUAGGUUUUCUAAUGACACAAAUUAUUAGAUUAUUGUCCCUUCAAAUUUCUUCUGGCCUGAGUGUUCAAGUUGAUUCAGAGAAGUUAGGCUUGAUUUUUAUCUCUUUUGUGUUAUGUGUUUGAGGCUACUAGAGAUAGGGACAUAUAUAUAUAUAUAUGGUAUGGAAAUGAAAAUUUUGUUUAACAUAAUUCAAAUGAGAGUGGAGCAGUAAGCUACAUUUUACAGGACAUGAAAUUUCUACUAGGAUAGCAUAGCUUUUUCUUAGAAUAGUAUAAGGGUUUUCAGUAGCUUCUGUUACGAGAGUAAAUUUUUAUAUAUUGUAUUUGCAGUGUUUAAUGGCCCCAAAUGAAAAAAUUAGUUGUCUUAUUAAUUAUGGAAAUUUAAAGUUUAAGAUGUUUUUUGUUUAGUAAACCUAUCAUAACCAAGUCAAUAUUUGGAAUAGAAGUAAACAUUUUGAUGACAUAACUUUAAAGAACUCAUUAUCUUAUACUCGUAGUUGUUGAGGAAAUUUUAGGCCCCUUUGAAAGGUUCAGUUCCACAUUUCUACUCCAUCACGAUUUUAUUUAAACUUAGCAAUUUAUAAUUUUAUGAUUUUUUCAAAGCGUUCUAUUGCAUCUUUUGCUAUAUCUAAUCAGCAAAAAAGCACAAAACCUGUAUAACAGUUGUAUAAAAUUCAGUUGAUAAAUCCAACAUGAUGUUGGUGUUCUUACCUGUGUGCUUGCAGAAUUGCCUGUUCGAUUUUUAUCAUUGUUGUGUAGGUCCUGUGUGCUUGCAGAAUACAUUUGCAUCUGAUAAAUUUGAGAUAAUUAUGCGACAUCUAUUAAGUAGUUUAUUUAUGAAUGCUAAGCUGAAACAUUUUCAUUCUUGGUUUUAAUGGAAGCACCUUUAAAAAGGAGCUCCCUACAAAAAUAAACGUAUGCCACUGAAUGCAGCGAGCACACGGUAUUCUUUAGUAAAAGGCGAAAGAAUAGUUCGCUUUGUGCUCACUGCGUGGCUGCGUAAUUUUUCCAAGAAAUGCUUCAGUUAUUUAUACUGCAGUCAUUGUUUGGGUCUUAUCCUGAUUGAUGUGGGACUGUUGUGAUUUUCCUUUGUAUCUUAUAGUGAAUUUUUAGCUGUAGGGAAAAUUAUUUACACAAACUAAGAAUGUUUUGCUUGCUAUCUUAAUGUGUUGAUUCUACUUUGAAAAAAUGUCAUUUGUUUUAUGUUGCUUCACAAUUAUGUAGCUGAACUUUUUGGUUGUGCAUUUGAGAUGUUCCGCUGAAUAUGAAGUUGAAUUACUGUAAUGGUGGAUAAAAAGGUUAAUCUAAGCCGCUGGAUAGCAACACCAUAAUCAAUCUACUUGAAUGGCAGAGUUUGUCCAAUCUUUGUGUUGAUCUCCAAUUAUAGUAUUUAUACCUAAAUGAAGUAAGAACAUAUAACGUCAACUAAUGUUCCAUGCCAAAGACAUUAGACUAGUAAAAGAACAACAUAAUGGACCCAAAUAAAGUAAGAACGUUUAAAUUCACACCUAUUUUAUAAAUGUGUGUAAGAUUUUAAAAGUUAGAAGAACUAUCUACCUGUAAAAGGAUAUCUUGUGAGUGGUUCUGUAAAGGUUAGUGUUUAGCUUUAUCAUCCUAAUAGGUUUAGGGGGCUUAGACAGAAUGGAGUUGUAUAAACAGGAAUUUUUAAGCUCACUGUUAGGUGUACGUGAGAGUGUCCAACUUGUGUAAUGUAUCAUUUUGAUUAGAGUGCCCAAUUUUGUGCAUGCUCUGGUGAGGAGGGAUUUAUACCUUCAAGCUAUUUGUGUAUGUUUUUUCGUAUUGUUUUUACUUUCAUAUUUUUUACCCCUUACAACAUUACACUUGGUUAGGUUCAUAAUACAGGAACCAUUAGAAACGUAGAGCUUUAUGCUUCGUCGGGAUUUAAGAUGAUGUGCUUUGUAAACCUAAUAAGAACAUGUUUUAGUUUGGCUGCUGAAGUUAGAGUCACUCGUUAUAUUUGAUGGCGUUGUUGAGUUCGUUCAUUUGUACAAAGUUAGCAUUUACUCUAGUACAAUAGCGCGCUUAUGUUUUUGAACGGGAAUGUGUAUCAGUUUAUUCAGUGAUCUCAGCUCUUGCCUUCCAAAUUGGUGGCCAUUCUGAUAGUAGAAGUACUUUGCAUGAGGACUUGUAUUUGUUAAGAAUCUUAGUUGCAGACUGUCAUAUCAUAGGACCGGUUUAGUUCAAUUCUUCAAUUAUUUGACAAUUGGAUACUCUGAACUUCUAAUGGUUUUGGCUUCUGUGACAGAGACGUGUAGUACUGCGUGAAGGCUUUUGCUGAAGAACGGGUAUCAUUCUUUAGCAGCGGAUGGGGCUAAUGUAUAAUAUCCUAGCUUGUUCGGCUUUAUUUCUUUGGAAGUCCUUUAUGAAGCGAUCAUCCCAUGUGUCAAAUAUUGAGUUUUCUCACAUUGCGAAGCCACAGUUGACUGAAUUGAGGUUGGAACGACCAGAAAAUUUGAUAGAGGUACGUAAGAUCGAACGCAACAUUCCUUAUGGAUUUCUCGUUAUUUCGGCAAUAAGAUUUAGUAUCUGUUUCUUUACAUAUCAAUUUUUACAUAUGGUCAAAAGGCCACAAUGAUUUUAAAGGUUAUUCAUUUUCUUAGGGAAAAGAGUCCACCAUUAUAGCAUCGCCAUUAUAGCAUCGCCCAUGUAUUGCUGAUUGUGCCGUACUGCAUAGGAUUGGCACAUUCCACUAAGUGUAAACUUGCUGCUUGCAAUUACAAGCAGUUGAAGGAUGUAUUUUUCUUCAUGAACUUGGUAAUUUUUGAAAAGGAUUUCACUCCACUUCUAUCUAGCUUAAUUCAUUGUAUAAUUGGCUUCUACCCCUACACUACAAGUCUACAAGGUAGCACGAAAUUUUGAUCCCUAUUUAGUUUAAAUAGUUCAAACUAGAUAAAAUGGCGAGUCAUACAUCGCAAGCUAUUUAGAAUUCCAGAAGUUUUUUGAGGCAAAGAUGUGAAUCUUCUUGCUAAACUACUCUGGUACGGUGAUCACUCAUGCUUUGUAUCAUUUGGAUGGGAUUUAUAUGAAGACGUUUGCGAAAAUGUUAGAAACUCUUAGCUUCCUGUUAUUCAUGCCUUUAAUUCUCAGGAUGUGUUGUGAGGAUCAUUUUGAAAUAGGCACUCCUCUGGAAGUUUUUAGCGAGUGGUAAUCUUACUAGAAAUAUUGAUAUGCAUCAAACUAUCCCACAUUGAAGAAAUUAAAUUUCUUAGUCGUUUAUAAUUCUCUAGGUACAUUAGUUGAUGGUCUCUUCGGAGACAUCUGAUAAAAUUGGAACGAUACAAAGAAGAUUAGCAUGGCCCCUGCGCAAGGAUGACACGCACAAAUCGAGAAAUGGUCUAAAUUUUUUGGUCUAUUUUGCCCUUUCCCAUGAAACCUGAAUUCAAAUAAUAAUGCUGUUUACAGCAAAACUUGUUCAAUCCUCUGAAAUGUCUUCAUUCCUGCUGCAAUUCUCGACACAUAUACCAUAUGAUCCUUCAGUGCCAAUGACAUACAAGACUGUUGGCAGGUGAUUUCUCUUGUAUUAGAAACUUUUGCAGCAAAUAACUGAUACAUGGUCCAAAUUAUUUCCUCACCGGCUUUCUUCUCCUGGAAUCCGAAUUUCAAUUAUUUAUGCUGUUUACAGCAAAAUUAUUUUCUCAUCUGCAAUGUUUUCAUUCUUGUUGCACACCUUGAUUCUAGCACCUUAUUUUGUGCCAUGAGAUGGUGAUAUCUCUUAUAAUUGUAGAAAGUUUUGUUGCCAAAAAAUGGAAUCUGCUUCUUCCUGCACUCUAAACAAAAGGCCAAAACGAGAAAAUAUGAAGGAGGGAGCCAGGGAGGUAUCCAUCACAGCCUACAAGGCUUCAAGACUCUCAUGUGGACUAGUGGUAAAUUGGUAAUCCCACAUGUCAAAUAUUUAUUGUCUCGCAUAGAGAAACGACAGUCGAAGCUGGAAUGAAAGAGAAGAUGGAGGUAGGAGGAUGUGAGAUUAAAUGUAGCAUCCCUUUCUGGCUUUCUCUGUAUUUUGGCUAUAAGAUCAAGUGUAUAUGUUUAAUACUUUGUACUGUAUAUUUUAUGUUAAGUCAUCACAACGGACAAGACCACUAUAGCUCGCAGCUUGCUUAGGGAUCUUGGAGUAUAACCCAUGUAUUGAAAUUGGGUAUCCACACAUUGAAAUUUAAGGAAGCUAACUUGUAUGGAAAUCCAAUAAAUAAAUUGGCAAUCUUGUACCCGGCUUGGGUCACAAUCAUCUUUACACAUGUAGGUCAAAUUAGUACUUCUAUGUUAGAAUUGGUAAACAUGGCUUUGAACUAUACCCGCACUAAUUGG